rnacentral:rRNA from 1 species
GUGGGUACUAGGUGUGGGGGACAUUCCACGUUCUCUGUGCCGUAGCUAACGCAUUAAGUACCCCGCCUGGGGAGUACGGCCGCAAGGCUAAAACUCAAAGGAAUUGACGGGGCCCCGCACAAGCGGCGGAGCAUGCGGAUUAAUUCGAUGCAACGCGAAGAACCUUACCUGGGUUUGACAUAUAUCGGAAACGUUCAGAGAUGGGCGCCCCGUAAGGUCGGUAUACAGGUGGUGCAUGGCUGUCGUCAGCUCGUGUCGUGAGAUGUUGGGUUAAGUCCCGCAACGAGCGCAACCCUCGUCCAAUGUUGCCAGCGGGUUAUGCCGGGGACUCAUUGGAGACCGCCGGGGUCAACUCGGAGGAAGGUGGGGAUGACGUCAAGUCAUCAUGCCCCUUAUGUCCAGGGCUUCACGCAUGCUACAAUGGCCGGUACAAAGAGUUGCGAGCCUGUGAGGGUGAGCGAAUCUCAAAAAGCCGGUCUCAGUUCGGAUUGGGGUCUGCAACUCGACCCCAUGAAGUCGGAGUCGCUAGUAAUCGCAGAUCAGCAACGCUGCGGUGAAUACGUUCCCGGGGCUUGUACACACCGCCCGUCAAGUCAUGAAAGUCGGUAACACCCGAAGCCGGUGGCCNNNNCCGUUUGGGGGGGAGCUGUCGAAGGUGGGACUGGUAAUUAGGACUAAGUCGUAACAAGGUAGCC